UGGCGGCGUGCCUAAUACAUGCAAGUCGAACGCACUGACGUCGACAGAAGGUGCUUGCACUGGAAGUUGAUUGACGUGAGUGGCGGACGGGUGAGUAACACGUGGGUAACCUGCCCUUAAGCGGGGGAUAACAUUUGGAAACAGAUGCUAAUACCGCAUAAAAGUUGAGAUCACAUGGUCUUAAUUUGAAAGACGGCCUUUGGCUGUCACUUAAGGAUGGACCCGCGGCGUAUUAGCUAGUUGGUGAGAUAAUAGCCCACCAAGGCGAUGAUACGUAGCCGACCUGAGAGGGUAAUCGGCCACAUUGGGACUGAGACACGGCCCAAACUCCUACGGGAGGCAGUAGGGAAUCUUCCACAAUGGACGAAAGUCUGAUGGAGCAACGCCGCGUGAGUGAAGAAGGUUUUCGGAUCGUAAAACUCUGUUGUUGGAGAAGAACAGGGACUAGAGUAACUGUUAGUCCUUUGACGGUAUCCAACCAGAAAGCCACGGCUAACUACGUGCCAGCAGCCGCGGUAAUACGUAGGUGGCAAGCGUUGUCCGGAUUUAUUGGGCGUAAAGCGAGCGCAGGCGGUUUCUUAAGUCUGAUGUGAAAGCCUUCGGCUUAACCGAAGAAGUGCAUCAGAUACUGGGAAACUUGAGUGCAGAAGAGGAAAGUGGAACUCCAUGUGUAGCGGUGAAAUGCGUAGAUAUAUGGAAGAACACCAGUGGCGAAGGCGGCUUUCUGGUCUGUAACUGACGCUGAGGCUCGAAAGUAUGGGGAGCGAACAGGAUUAGAUACCCUGGUAGUCCAUACCGUAAACGAUGAAUGCUAAGUGUUGGAGGGUUUCCGCCCUUCAGUGCUGCAGCUAACGCAUUAAGCAUUCCGCCUGGGGAGUACGACCGCAAGGUUGAAACUCAAAGGAAUUGACGGGGGCCCGCACAAGCGGUGGAGCAUGUGGUUUAAUUCGAAGCUACGCGAAGAACCUUACUAGGUCUUGACAUCUAGCGCCAAUCCUAGAGAUAGGACGUUCCCUUCGGGGACGCUAAGACAGGUGGUGCAUGGUUGUCGUCAGCUCGUGUCGUGAGAUGUUGGGUUAAGUCCCGCAACGAGCGCAACCCUUAUGAUUAGUUGCCAGCAUUUAGUUGGGCACUCUAAUCAGACUGCCGGUGACAAACCGGAGGAAGGUG
rnacentral:rRNA from 1 species